GGUCCAGUUAUCAAAUUGUUGUGGACAGCUAGUAACACCUUUCCCAAUGGUCAAGAGAGAGCUGAGGGGUUUCCCAGAAGAAAUCGGGACUUAGUUAGGAGUUUGCAUUGCAUACAUAUGAAUGUGCAGACAUGAAUUAAAAGCAGGAUGGACCACUUGGUCCUUUUCAGCCUGUUCCACCAUUCAAUAAGCUUAUAACUGAAGUGAUCAUUGUAUAUUUCCAUCUACCUCUGAUGCGGUUUCAUCUCCCUGCUGAUUAAAACACUCUCUGCUUCUGCCUUAAAUAUGCUCACUGCCUUUUGAGGAAGACAAUUCCAAACAUUGUCAAUCUUCUGACAGAACAAACUUCUCCUCUCUCUUCAAAUGGGAAGCCCAUUAUUUUGAAACCGUGACCCUCCGGCUUGAAGAGAACCUCCCGGGAUUAGUCAGGAAAGUCAUGUUCUUCAUGGAAACCUCCUCAAAUCUACAGAAAUCUGGAAAAUUAGAACCAACUCGUCAAUUAUCUCACCCGCCACAUCUUUGAAGUCCCUGGGAUGAAAUCGAUCAACACCUUGUUAACCUGUGGUUUCAAUGAUUUGCUCAGUUCCCUGGCGAACGCAUUCUUCUUGAGUUCCUCUUUUUCAUUUCCUAAUCUACAACUAUUUCUGGGAUCUUGUAUCCUCUGUAGUGAAGACCAAAGCAAAAUGCCUGUUCACCUGCCUUUUUCUAUGUUCCAGUAUUAAUUCCCCAAACUCACAUUGAAAAGGACCAGUGCUCACCUUGUUAAUUCUGCCUUCUAAAGUAUCUGUAAAACCAUAUUUAAGCAAAAAUUCUAACUAACUUUCUUUCAUAUUCUUAGCUGGUGAUGUGGUGUCUGUAAAGCCUGCAUACAAUUUAGCUGGCACUAAAUUAAAUAAAAUACAUUCAGCAAACCUUUGAAUGCCAGGUUAAAGACAGCCCAGAGCAGGCAUUCUCAUCAUGAAGCUGGGUGUAACUUAAAAUUCUCUGGUUUUUGAUUUAUCUUGAUGUGUGUAUGCUGAGAGAAUUUAGUUGCAGUUUGGAGCUGAGUGUGUGCUGAGGUGGAAAAUGUGCCUUCAGGCUAUUAGGAGAGGACCUAUGGAGUGAUAACUCAAUGCCAAGGAAAACAGUUAUGUACGUCAAAAAGAAGCCCUGGGAACCAUUGAUUGCUCUGCGCAGUUGAAAGAAGCCCACAAGCAAGGUCUGCAGCUGAAAAAGAUUGGAUCUUACAGAAAUACAUCAGCAGCUCACUGAAGCUAGACAUUUCUUAAAGCUGAAAUUGUGCUGAUAAAUACUUAGGAACAGUCUCAAUGGGGAACUCAUUGUCUGGGUACGAAACUGAGUGACCCAGGCAUGAGCAGUCCUUCAGCUUGUCCUAAUCAGAGAGGCUCUGAGUGUCUUUCAAUGCCAGAUUUUCAAAAGUGAAGAUUUUAGAAUUCCUUGUGAAGGAGCUAAGACUUUUUUAUUUAAAUUAGGUGACCUACAGUAUCACUUAGAUCAGGGUGGAAUCGAUCUUGACUGUAUUGGCUAAUUAACAAAGGGUGCUCAAGCACAGUUGAUCUGUUAACUUACGUUUUCCUCAUGUUGAUAUAAAAUGUAUAUAGAAUGUGUAUGGCUUAGAAUAAUUAUCUCACAGAUUCAUUGUACCUGUUUUGCUUGUCUUAGUUUUCAGUAUGCAUAGUAAAAAUUCUUUUGUUUCCAAUUAA